GCCCCUCGCCUGCAGGCAGGCAGCCCCCCGGGAGAGUUGGCGCUGCGCUCCGUCUUGUUCCCUUCCGGCCACCCCGCCCGGUUUUCCCUGCGAGGAGUCAACAGCUCCUGGGUGGUUCCUCACCGAAAGAUGGUGUUUGCUGGGUGCUCCUCAAGUGAAAACAAAUCAGAUGGCUAUUCAAUGUCAGCAGUGAGGACGUUUACACAGUUAAGACCAGUUUGUCUCUGCUCCAAGAAGGGAAGGAAGAAGACUGACGUAAAACUUCUGCCAGUUGGGUUAUAUCGCCAGGGAAGGGAUUACAACUCAAAUGCUUCCAGAGGCCAGACUUUUGAGUCACACAAACCCAGGAUUCUGGUGGAUUCUGGUGAAGAGUAACAGUCUCGCCUGGCAGAGGGGGCAGCUUGCUGCUGCCACGUUUGACU